UACGUAGGGUGCAAGCGUUGUCCGGAAUUAUUGGGCGUAAAGAGCUCGUAGGCGGUUUGUCGCGUCGGCUGUGAAAUCCUGGGGCUCAACCCCGGGCCUGCAGCCGAUACGGGCAAACUAGAAUUCGGUAGGGGAGACUGGAAUUCCUGGUGUAGCGGUGAAAUGCGCAGAUAUCAGGAGGAACACCGGUGGCGAAGGCGGGUCUCUGGGCCGAUAUUGACGCUGAGGAGCGAAAGCGUGGGGAGCAAACAGG
rnacentral:rRNA from 1 species